rnacentral:rRNA from 1 species
GGACGAACGCUGGCGGCGUGCUUAACACAUGCAAGUCGAGCGAUGAAGCUUCCUUCGGGAAGUGGAUUAGCGGCGGACGGGUGAGUAACACGUGGGUAACCUGCCUCAAAGUGGGGGAUAGCCUUCCGAAAGGAAGAUUAAUACCGCAUAAUAUGAGAGAAUCGCAUGAUUUUCUUAUCAAAGAUUUAUUGCUUUGAGAUGGACCCGCGGCGCAUUAGCUAGUUGGUAAGGUAACGGCUUACCGAGGCAACGAUGCGUAGCCGACCUGAGAGGGUGAUCGGCCACAUUGGAACUGAGACACGGUCCAGACUCCUACGGGAGGCAGCAGUGGGGAAUAUUGCGCAAUGGGGGAAACCCUGACGCAGCAACGCCGCGUGGGUGAUGAAGGUCUUCGGAUUGUAAAGCCCUGUUUUCUGGGACGAUAAUGACGGUACCAGAGGAGGAAGCCACGGCUAACUACGUGCCAGCAGCCGCGAUAAUACGUAGGUGGCGAGCGUUGUCCGGAUUUACUGGGCGUAAAGGGUGCGUAGGCGGAUGUUUAAGUGGGAUGUGAAAUCCCCGGGCUUAACCUGGGGGCUGCAUUCCAAACUGGAUAUCUAGAGUGCAGGAGAGGAAAGCGGAAUUCCUAGUGUAGCGGUGAAAUGCGUAGAGAUUAGGAAGAACACCAGUGGCGAAGGCGGCUUUCUGGACUGUAACUGACGCUGAGGCACGAAAGCGUGGGUAGCAACAGGAUUAGAUACCCUGGUAGUCCACGC